UGGGGAAUUUUGGACAAUGGGCGAAAGCCUGAUCCAGCAAUGCCGCGUGUGUGAAGAAGGCCUUCGGGUUGUAAAGCACUUUUGUCCGGAAAGAAAUCCUUGGCUCUAAUACAGUCGGGGGAUGACGGUACCGGAAGAAUAAGCACCGGCUAACUACGUGCCAGCAGCCGCGGUAAUACGUAGGGUGCAAGCGUUAAUCGGAAUUACUGGGCGUAAAGCGUGCGCAGGCGGUUUGCUAAGACCGAUGUGAAAUCCCCGGGCUCAACCUGGGAACUGCAUUGGUGACUGGCAGGCUAGAGUAUGGCAGAGGGGGGUAGAAUUCCACGUGUAGCAGUGAAAUGCGUAGAGAUGUGGAGGAAUACCGAUGGCGAAGGCAGCCCCCUGGGCCAAUACUGACGCUCAUGCACGAAAGCGUGGGGAGCAAACAGGAUUAGAUACCCUGGUAGUCCACGCCCUAAACGAUGUCAACUAGUUGUUGGGGAUUCAUUUCCUUAGUAACGUAGCUAACGCGUGAAGUUGACCGCCUGGGGAGUACGGUCGCAGGAUUAAAACUCAAAUGAAUUGACGGGGUCAUAGCUGUUUCCU
rnacentral:rRNA from 1 species